rnacentral:rRNA from 1 species
AAGCGGGAAAAGCUCAAAUUUAAAAUCUGGUGGUCUUCGGCCAUCCGAGUUGUAAUCUAGAGAAGUGUUACCCGCGUCGGACCGUGUACAAGUCUCCUGGAAUGGAGCGUCAUAGAGGGUGAGAAUCCCGUCUUUGRCACGGACUACCGAGGCUUUGUGGUGCGCUCUCAAAGAGUCGAGUUGUUUGGGAAUGCAGCUCAAAAUGGGUGGUAAAUUCCAUCUAAAGCUAAAUAUUGGCGAGAGACCGAUAGCGAACAAGUACCGUGAGGGAAAGAUGAAAAGAACUUUGGAAAGAGAGUUAAMCAGUACGUGAAAUUGCUAAAAGGGAAACGCUUGAAGUCAGUCGCGUUGGCCGGAAAUCASCCUUGCUUUAUGCUGGGUGUMCUUUCUGGUUGMCGGGCCAGCAUCAGUUUUGACCGGUGGAAAAAGUCUAGGGGAAUGUGGCAUCUUCGGAUGUGUUAUAGCCCUUGGUCGUAUACAUCGGUUGGGACUGAGGAACUCAGCACGCCGCAAGGCCGGGUCAUUGACCACGUUCGUGCUUAGGAUGCUGGCAUAAUGSCUUUAAUCGACCCGUCUUGAAACACGGACCAAGGAGUCUAACAUGCCUGCGAGUGUUUGGGUGGAAAACCCGGACGCGUAAUGAAAGUGAAAGUUGAGAUCCCUGUCAUGGGGRGCAUCGACGCCCGGMCCAGAAGUUUUCUGACGSCCCUGCGGUAGRGCAUGUAUGUUGGGACCCGAAAGAUGGUGAACUAUGCCUGAAUAGGGUGAASCCAGAGGAAACUSUGGUGGAGGCUCGYAGCGAUUCUGACGUGCAAAUCGAUCGUCAAAUU